rnacentral:rRNA from 1 species
AUUGAACGCUGGCGGCAGGCCUAACACAUGCACGUCGAACGAGUGGCGGACGGGUGAGUAAUGUCUGGGAAACUGCCUGAUGGAGGGGGAUAACUACUGGAAACGGUAGCUAAUACCGCAUACCAUCGGAUGUGCCCAGAUGGGAUUAGCUAGUAGGUGGGGUAACGGCUCACCUAGGCGACGAUCCCUAGCUGGUCUGAGAGGAUGACCAGAAACACUGGAACUGAGACACGGGCCAGACACCUACGGGAGGCAGCAGUGGGGAAUAUUGCACAAUGGGCGGAAGGCUGAUGCAGCCAUGCCGCGUGUAGGAAGAAGGCCGUCGGGUGGAAAAGUACUUUCAGCGGGGAGGCGUUACCCGCAGAAGAAGCACCGGCUAACUCCGUGCAAGCAGCCGCGGUAAUA